rnacentral:rRNA from 1 species
AGGAGGAGCCUGCAUCUGAUUAGCUAGUUGUGGGGUAAGAGCUUACCAAGGCGAUGAUCAGUAACUGGUCUGAGAGGACGACCAGUCACACUGGGACUGAGACACGGCCCAGACUCCUACGGGAGGCAGCAGUGGGGAAUAUUGGACAAUGGGGGCAACCCUGAUCCAGCGAUGCCGCGUGAGUGAAGAAGGCCUUCGGGUCGUAAAGCUCUUUAGGUUGGGAAGAAGAGUAUGGGAGGAAUAUGCCUGUACUUUGACGGUACCGACAGAAUAAGCACCGGCAAAUUCUGUGC